CUUGUUCUUUAAAUGAGGACUCGUAUCAACGGCACUACGAGGGCUAUACUGUCUCCUUUUUUCUAAUCAGUGAAACUGAUCUCCCCGUGAAGAAGCGGGGAUUGUAAUAUAAGACGAGAAGACCCCAUGGAGCUUUAAACUCACCAUGCACCUCUGUGCUCCUAUACCUUUAAACACAACAGACCUGCAUGUUAGUUUUAGGUUGGGGUGACCACGGAGUAUAACUUAACCUCCACAGCAAAUGGGCUAAUACCCUUAUCCACGAGACACAACUCUAAGAAUUACUAAACUAAUGCUUACGACCCGAUAUUCGAUCCAUGAACCAAGUUACCCUGGGGAUAACAGCGCAAUCUACUUCAAGAGCCCAUAUCGACAAGUAG
rnacentral:rRNA from 1 species